GACGAACGCUGGCGGCGUGCUUAACACAUGCAAGUCGAACGGAAAGGCCCUGCUUUUGUGGGGUGCUCGAGUGGCGAACGGGUGAGUAACACGUGAGUAACCUGCCCUUGACUUUGGGAUAACUUAAGGAAACUGGGGCUAAUACCGGAUAGGAGCUCCUACUGCAUGGUGGGGGUUGGAAAGUUUCGGCGGAUGGGGAUGGACUCGGGGCUUAUCAGCUUGUUGGUGGGGUAGUGGCUUACCAAGGCUUUGAAGGGUGGCCGGCCUGAGAGGUUGGACGGGGACAUGAGGACUGAGAGACGCCCCAGUCUGGUACGGGAGGCAGCAGUGGAGAAUAUUGCACAACGGGCGGAAGUCUGAUGCAGCAGCGUCGGGGGCGGGAUGCCCGGCUGCGGGUUGUAAACCGCUUUCGCCGGAGACGAAGCGUGAGUGACGGUAAUGGGUAAGGAAGCACCGGCUAACUACGUG
rnacentral:rRNA from 1 species